CAAGGAAUUUUCCCCAAUGGGCGCAAGCCUGAGGGAGCAACGCCGCGUGCAGGACGACGGCCUUCGGGUUGUAAACUGCUUUUGCGUGGGACGAUAACGACGGUACCACGCGAAUCAGCCCCGGCUAACUCUGUGCCAGCAGCCGCGGUAAUACGGAGGAUGCAAGCGUUAUUCGGAAUUAUUGGGCGUAAAGCGUCCGCAGGUGGUGCCUCAAGUCUGCUGUCAAAGACCGAAGCUCAACUUCGGGCAGGCAGUGGAAACUGAAGCACUAGAGUACGGUAGGGGUAGAGGGAAUUUCCAGUGUAGCGGUGAAAUGCGUAGAGAUUGGAAAGAACACCAGUGGCGAAGGCGCUCUACUGGACCGUAACUGACACUCAGGGACGAAAGCUAGGGGAGCGAAAGGGAUUAGAUACCCCCGUAGUCC
rnacentral:rRNA from 1 species